rnacentral:rRNA from 1 species
UACAGAGGUCCCGAGCGUUGUUCGGAUUCACUAGGCGUAAAGGGUGCGUAGGUGGUGAGGUAAGUCGGAUGUGAAAUCUCCGGGCUCAACCCGGAAAUGGCAUUGGAAACUACCUUGCUGGAGGAUUUGAGGGGGGAUUGGAAUACUUGGUGUAGCAGUGAAAUGCGUAGAUAUCAAGUGGAACACCAGUGGCGAAGGCGAAUCCCUGGAAAAUACCUGACACUGAGGCACGAAAGCUAGGGGAGCAAACAGG